rnacentral:lncRNA from 1 species
AAGCUAGCUGUGAUCCACAAGCCCACUCCAUAACACUCCCACUGAAUCAUCGCUCUCACCGCUCUUAAUGAUAGAAAUGCUUCUCUGUUUACCAGGAAGCAAUGGGAGUGGGAGGCUGGCUGCCUGGCUGGGGGCACCAAUCAGGUUCAUCAAAUAGAAUUUUAGUGGAGCGAACGGGUACGCACUCUACCUUUUGAAGGUUUUGCUUGCUGGGAAAAUAGACAGCAUAAGAGACUGAUUUCAUCACCACCACCACCAGAGAGGUAUUCUUUAUCGGCUACAGGGAACUGAACCUGGAGGCUGUGGACCAAAGGCAUCAUGGAAAAAGCAAGGCUGCACUUCUCGCACACAAACCCCAAGGGCUCCAAGUCCCUGGAGAAUUGUAGAAUGCUGGGGAAAGGAGGGUACAUUACAUAAGUACAGUUGCGGCCAAAUAUAUUGGCAACCUUAGACUUUCCUUAAAUAACCUCACUUGGGAUUUGAACUCACAACCUCUCAGUUGCCAGUGACCUGAAUUUCCUGCUACACCACUGGCUUUGUGGGUUUGAUUAAGAUUGUUAAAAGAUUAGAACGAAUAGACAUUGUGAUUUGUCCCUAUGGGGGUACACUUUUGGGUGCCACGUAGAACACUUAGAUACUUUUUUUUUAUCCUGUAGGGGAAUAAUUUGGGAUAUACACAGAACCCUGUCAUGAAAAACCCUCUGGUUACAGAGUUAUGCAAUUUGUCCCUGUGGGGGAACCCUUAUGUGUGCCAUGUAGAACCCUUUGAUUUGUCCCUGUAGGGGAACCCUUUUGAGUUUUAUUUAGAACCCGAUCAUUAAGAACCCUCUGGUUCCAGGUAGAAGUAAUAACAGCUUCUAUUGUUAUGCUCAUAGGAUACUUCAUAUGUGCUUAUGGCACACAGUUAAAAAUUACCUGUAAAAUGACAUGUUGUUUACCUUACAUGCACUGCACUUUGUUUGAAAUGAAGGUGAGGGCAAUGUGCUGGUGGGGGCUCAUUAGCAUAUUUGGGGCCAUGGUCUAAAAUAUGUUGUAUUAGUGCCAACCAUUAGUGGAAGUGUUGAACCACUUUAAUUUUAUUGUUAUGUUGAUGAAGGUUGAGGGCUACAGCGAGGCGCAACGGUGGUAUGUACUGGGAGUUGCUGGUGCCGCUGCUGCUGCACAUUUGUCCACGCCCAGUGCAUACCACCAUUGCUCCUCGCCUUUGCCCUCGACCUUCAUCAACAUAACAAUAUGCUGAAAGGUGCAUACACUGCCACCUAUGGUACUGGAACAGAACAGCUACCACUAACUGUAUCGCCCUGGCCAUAGAGAGGGUUUUUUUGUUCUUUAUUUUGGUUAGGCCAGGGUGUUACAUUGGGUGGGCGUUCCAUGUUCCUUUUUCUAUGUUUUUGUAUUUCUUUGUUUUGGGCCGUGUGUGGCUCCCAAUCAGGCACAGCUGAAACUCGUUGUUGCUGAUUGGGAGUCACACAUAAGGAGCAUGUUUUUCCUUUGGGUUUUGUGGGUAAUUGUUUCUGUUAGUGUUUGCACCGGACAUGACUGUUGGCUGUC